AAUCUUUUACCGGCAAGCAAGGGGUAUUGAGCUGAAUCCCUACCUGUCUUUGUUCUAGUCACUGAGCUGAAUCUCUUUCUUUGUUCUAGAAAGUUGUGAUUGUAAUGGAAGUUUUAUACAUGUUUUUUUGACCCGUUUAUCCACACUUUAUCGGGAAGAAAAAUAAUGAGUUGAAGUGCUUUUUUAGACUCGGAACAAAAAAUUUUGCACUCCUUGCCUGCCCUUGUCUAACCUAAACUAAUUAUCUUGGCAGGCACUUGACUUGGUUCCAGAGA
rnacentral:misc_RNA from 1 species